AGUUCUACUAUUGCCAAAAUUUUUUUUCAGUUAGUUUACAGUUAAAUAUGAUUGCAAUUUAGUAAAUUUCAUUACUUGAAGCUUACUUAAAUAAUCAUUAGAUAACAGUUCAAUUCAGCACAUUGAGGACCGUCACCGGCUGAAUUAAAAAGUGUUCAAGUUGUAUAAAGUAAUUAUAGAGACAUUGGUGUGACAUGCAAAAUAAUUCGAUUUGGUCAAUACGUUGAUACGCGAUCAUUUGAAGAGAGCUCCUUAUAGAAUAACAUAAAAAUUAUUUUUAUAACGUUUUUGUAUACUUUCAUUAUCAGGGAUUAUCUUUAUCCGGAUAU
rnacentral:lncRNA from 1 species